rnacentral:rRNA from 1 species
GACGGAGGGUGCUAGCGUUGUUCGGAAUUACUGGGCGUAAAGGGCGCGUAGGCGGCCUGUUAAGUCGGGUGUGAAAGCCCGGGGCUCAACCCCGGAACGGCACCCGAGACUGGCGGGCUUGUGACCGAGAGAGGAGAGUGGGAUACCCAGUGUAGAGGUGAAAUUCGUAGAUAUUGGGUGGAACACCAGUGGCGAAAGCGGCUCUCUGGCUCGGUUCUGACGCUGAGGCGCGAAAGCGCGGGGAGCAAACAGG